rnacentral:rRNA from 1 species
UACGUAGGGACCAAGCGUUGUCCGGAAUCAUUGGGCGUAAAGAGCGUGUAGGCGGCUUGUUAAGUCUUGCGUGAAAUCUCGGGGCUCAACCCCGAGCGGUCGUGAGAAACCGGCAGGCUAGAGUGCGGGAGAGGAGAGUGGAAUUCCUGGUGUAGCGGUGAAAUGCGCAGAUAUCAGGAAGAACACCCGUGGCGAAGGCGGCUCUCUGGAACGCAACUGACGCUGAGACGCGAAAGCGUGGGGAGCAAACAGG